GACGAACGCUGGCGGCGUGCCUAAUACAUGCAAGUUGAGCGCUGAAGGUUGGUACUUGUACCAACUGGAUGAGCAGCGAACGGGUGAGUAACGCGUGGGGAAUCUGCCUUUGAGCGGGGGACAAUAUUUGGAAACGAAUGCUAAUACCGCAUAAAAACUUUAAACACAAGUUUUAAGUUUGAAAGAUGCAAUUGCAUCACUCAAAGAUGAUCCCGCGUUGUAUUAGCUAGUUGGUGAGGUAAAGGCUCACCAAGGCGAUGAUACAUAGCCGACCUGAGAGGGUGAUCGGCCACAUUGGGACUGAGACACGGCCCAAACUCCUACGGGAGGCAGCAGUAGGGAAUCUUCGGCAAUAGGCGAAAGUCUGACCGAGCAACGCCGCGUGAGUGAAGAAGGUUUUCGGAUCGUAAAACUCUGUUGGUAGAGAAGAACGUUGGUGAGAGUGGAAAGCUCAUCAAGUGACGGUAACUACCCAGAAAGGGACGGCUAACUACGUG
rnacentral:rRNA from 1 species